GACCGCUCCGGUGGCCUAGUGGUUAGAGCGUCCGCCUCGGAUGCGGGAGGUCGUGGGUUCGAUCCCCGGUCGAGUCA